UUUCGUAGGUGAACCUGCGGAAGGAUCAUUAACGAACCGAACAAAAGCGCCCCCUCGGCUGAUGCUGGCCCCUCGGGGCACGUGCACGCCUGGGCGCGCCUCCCAUUCGCUUCGCCUUCCCCCCUUGUGCACUCCAUGUAGGUCGCCGACGGUGGUCCUCCACCUUGGGCCCCUACGAUUUUUCGUCUUUGUACGCACCCCGAUCGCAUGUGUUAGCGUAGCACUCUUGCGUUGAUAACGUAACGCGAAAUACAACUUUCAACAACGGAUCUCUUGGCUCUCGCAUCGAUGAAGGACGCAGCGAAAUGCGAUAAGUAAUGUGAAUUGCAGAAUUCAGUGAAUCAUCGAGUCUUUGAACGCACCUUGCGCUCUUUGGCCAUUCCAAAGAGCAUGCCUGUUUGAGUGUCAUUGAAUCCUCAAGGCCCCCCUCCUGCCCUUUGCGGCUUUGGGGGGUGGCCCUUGGACUUGGGAGCGCUGCGGGGCCUGGCACACUGGGCCCCGCUCUCCUCAAAUGCAUCAGUAGGGCCUUCUUCCCCCUCGGGGUCCUCGCGGCGUUGAUAGUCGUCUACGCCUCGCCCGUUGGGUUUUGCCCCGCUCCUCAACCCCCCCAACCGAACGCUCUUGACCUCAAAUCAGGUAGGACUACCCGCUGAACUUAAGCAUAUC
rnacentral:rRNA from 1 species